rnacentral:misc_RNA from 1 species
ACAUAACAUACAAAAAUUCAAUGUAGACGAACUAUAUAG